CGGAGGGCUUGAGAGAGGAGGGGGGAGGAAACCUCUGAGGGCAAAGCUGAGGGGAAGACUGGGGAGCAGGUGCGGAGUCAGAGAGAGUCCUGGAGAUGAAGGGUGCCUGUUGGGGGCCACUUGGACAGUGCGUGGGGAUAGCUGGGACUGUUGGGGCGUGGGCCUGGCCUGUGGGGACUUAAGGACCCCAGGAAGGGCCUGUGCUCUUCCCGCCUUGGCCGGGACUUUGGGGCCUGCAGGAGAGGCCGUGUUCUCAGGCCCCCUCCCUUGGGAGGAGGUGGGCCUGCCCUGCUUGUCCUAGGGGCUGGUCCUGGGGGUCACGUGGCUUCUGCAGAGGUGCGGCCAGCUAGGCGGGUCUACUGGCCUGGCUGUCCCUCCGUCUGCAGGCCCCAGGGCCUGUCUUCACCGUGCAGGAGCUGGGGGUGGGCAGAAGGCAGUGAAGGAGGUUGGGGCAGUCCCGCCGGCAGGGGGCUGGGGGCCAUCAGUGCCUGAGGCGUGGAAGACAGGGCAGGGCUGUGGAUGAGCAAAGCUGGGAGGCCAGCAGGGCCAGGGGGCUCAGAAGAGAAUGCCCCCCAGGGGAAGUGAACUCCAUGCGCAGGUGGUCUGGGCCGGAGAGCCGGUUCAGAGGAAGCCGCCAAGAGAAAGGUCUGCAGAGCCCAGGCUGCAGCAGGAUAGGGAGCAGGGGGGCCUGAGGCAACCUGGAAAUGCCUGCCAGGUCUGAAGGGGCUGCAGGCUCUGUGAGAUGGAGUGGAGCUGGGGAGUGAUCGAGCAGGGAGGGGAGGGUCCCCGGAAGUCAAGGCCAUGGCCACAGGGAGGUAGAAGCUAAUUCCCGACCUUGCGACCUUGCGUGGGCCCAGGACAGGGGCUGCAGAGCCAGAUGCCAACCAGGGAACAAAAAUGCAGAAUUGGGGCAGCUGUGAGGCAGUGAGUGGGGAGGGGGGCAGCCGUGGGGAGCUGGAGGUGCACCCCCUUUUAAGGCGGCAGCUGCUGGCUACUGCUCAGCUCAGGCCGAGAGCGAUCAUGCGAAAAGUCAGGCUCAGAGUCGCCAGAAGGGACUCGUCAAGAGAAGUCAGGGUUUUGUGCAAACUUGCCUGAGCUCGGCCUCUCGCACACCCAUGUGCCACGUUCAGUUGCUACAAUCUAGCACUUCCAUCCCUCAGUUGCCCCUCAGUGGGAACAGGCACCAGGUCCACAAAAAACACCUGCACGACAUUCGUAGCAGCUUCCUCGUCACUGCCAGACGCGGGACAGCAGCAGCGUAGCUGGCCCGGCAAACGGAAGACAGGCUGGGGCAUCUUCUCGCCGUGGAGGAUGACGCCACGUGAGAAAGAGCCAGCACCGUGCGCGGAGAAUUAACCCUGUGACAUGAUGAACCCCCAAAACAUCACGCUGAGUGAAAGGGCCAGACACAGAAGGCCGCGGAGUGAGUGACUCAGUUGACGUGCAAGUCCAGGACAGGAACGUCCACAGAGACACCUGCAGGACGCAGCCGCCUGGCCCACCUCCUGCCAGAGUCGCCCCCAUCACACCACCAGGAACAAACCCCCGGCUGACAGGGAUUGCUGCCUCGGAGCCGAGCAGGGAAGAGGAGCGAAGCCAUCUGCUCUCCCUGAUGGGAUGUGAUUCCCCUCCGCCCACGUCCUCCGGCAGCCGCCACACUGGAUAAAUCGUUGCAAAUGGGUUUUCCCGGCCAGUCACUGGGCUGUUUUAAUAACGGUUCAUUUUCUGCCCCGGGGAAAAAAUAUUCCAUCAAGAAAUCGGGGAUAGGGCCGGGUGGAGGAGGGGGGGAUGGCUCAUUCUGUGCGUGUGUGUGUGCGUGCACGGUGUCCCUGGCACCUCAGAGAAGACUCCGGAAUGUCCUGCUGAGACACCAAGUGACCUGUCUGGGGGUGGGUCAUGCCCAGCACAUCCCAUCACCUGACGAAGGACAUCCCCAGGUACAUUUGUGGAGCGCCUACUAGGUGCCAGUCCGAGCUGGGUGCAAGGGGACACAGUGGCCUCCAGGCAGCGCCCUCCCCAGGCUUAUUCUAGAAGGGAGAGAGUGACACUAAAAAGUAGUGUGCAAAGCUAUGUGCUUACGAUGAUGGAAACUGUUAGAUCUGAGCAUCACCAAGCCCCACCGCCGGGAAGGCACCCUCAAGCUGAAAUGUGGGGGACAGACGACAGAGUUGCAGGGGGAAGGUCGUGCGCAUGGAGGGAACUUCCUGGACAAACAUCCAGAGGCUUGAAAGACAGGCUCAGACCUAGGGGAGAAGCCUGGCACCCGUGUGAAUGAGGGCCGGUCGGGGCACCGAGGAAUGGCUGUGUCUCGGACCCGGGUCAGCGGCCAGAGACCUGGGGGCCCUCCCCGUGUGUGGGCAGAGAGGACUCCUCCUGCCUGGACGUGGCCGCACCGUCCCGGGCAUAUUCACCCCUUUGGUCUCAAGGCCAACCGGCCAUUGCUUCGCUGAUUCAGAAACAGCAGCUCUGGGAGGUCAAGUGGCUUGUCGAGGUCACCCUCCAUCCCUCCCCGUCCCCACCCCUGUUCCUCUCCUCCUUGUAGUGGGUCCAAUGGUGGCCCCCCAGAAAGAUAUGUCCACACCCGAGCCACCAGAACCUGUGACUGUGACCUUAUUUGGAGAAACGGUGAUUGGAAAUGUCAUUAAAUUAAGAAUCUCGACAUGAGAUCAUCCUGGAUUAGGAUGAGCUCUGAAUCCAUUGACAAACGUCCUUGGAGAGAAGAGAAAGGGAGACAGACACACAGACAGAAGGAAGAAGGCCACAAGGAGACCGAGGCAGAGAGGGCAGGGACACAGCCACAAGCCAAGGGACGCUGCGGCCUCCAGAAGCCUGGGACAUUCUCCCGAGUCUGCAGUGGGCUGCCCUGCUGUCGGCCCUGUGAUGCUGAUUUGGACGUCUGGCCUCCAGAGCUGUGAGACAGUAAAUGUCUAUGGGUUUGUUUUGUUUUCUGUUGUUUUUGAGCCACCCGGUUUGGGGCUGUUUGUUACAGAAGCCACAGGAACCGGUGCUAACUCUCUCAGCGAAUCACCUGAGACUGCCUGGGUAUGUCCUCUGUCUCUCUGCAUCCCUCUUCCCACCCCUCUCCCGCAUCCCUCUUCCCUCC